rnacentral:rRNA from 1 species
UACGUAGGGUGCGAGCGUUAAUCGGAAUUACUGGGCGUAAAGCGUGCGCAGGCGGUUUUGUAAGCCAGGUGUGAAAUCCCCCGGGCUCAACCUGGGAAUGGCAUUUGGGACUGCAAGGCUGGAGUGCGGCAGAGGAGACUGGAAUUCCUGGUGUAGCAGUGAAAUGCGUAGAUAUCAGGAGGAAUACCGAUGGCGAAGGCAGGUCUCUGGGCUGACACUGACGCUCAUGCACGAAAGCGUGGGGAGCAAACAGG